CAAUAGCGUAUAUUAAAGUUGUUGCAGUUAAAAAGCUCGUAGUCGGACCUUGGACCUGGACAGGCGGUCCGCCUCACGGCGUGUACUGUCUUGCUGGGUCUUUCCUCUUGGUGAUCUGUUGUUUCGGCAGCAGGGAACCAGGACUUUUACUUUGAAAAAAUUAGAGUGUUCAAAGCAGGCUCGACGCCGGAAUAUAUUAGCAUGGAAUAAUAAAAUAGGACGUGCGGUUCUAUUUUGUUGGUUUUUGGAAUCGCCGUAAUGAUUAAUAGGGACAGUCGGGGGCAUUAGUACUCACAUGCUAGAGGUGAAAUUCUUGGAUUUUGUGAAGACUAACUUCUGCGAAAGCAUUUGCCAAGGAUGUUUUCAUUAA
rnacentral:rRNA from 1 species